rnacentral:piRNA from 1 species
UCUUGUAUCUUUAUACUUCUGCCUAGGA